UUUAAUUGCAUUCCUGGCACGGGCAACAGCCACAUGUCAUUUAAAGCCUAGACGGUUUUGUGGUGGUAUAGUAAGUAGGUACUUAGGUACCAUCGGCAACAGUGUUAACUGCCCAUUGCCAGUCAUGUCAUCUCGUUCUAUAGCAAAGAAUCACCAUUUGAUUAGAGCGAGAGCAAAAACGGAAAUUGACAGUUAACAGUGUGGCCGUGUGUACCUACUUAGCGUGGAUUCGACCAAACAAAAAUAAAUAUUAACCUCCGAAUAAAUCGUCACUUAAUUCGUCAUUUUGACAUAUUUCCCAUACUGAAACUGUCAAUGUGCCAGUUAAACGAGUAAGUACCUGGAGUUAUUCUCGGAUAAAAGUUUGGUCGAAUCGGGCUUUAGUAGGCCUAAGUACUUACCUAGAAUUUGAUGGCAGGUUGAAUGACUGACACCCAAGAGUGUUUGUUAUUCGAUGGUGACCCCAAAAUAAUAUCGUUGCACUUUUAUUCCCAAGUCCUUUUUGAUGGUUCCUUCAAAGGAACUAAUGAUAGUUUUGGUAUACCAUUAAUGAUCUACGGGCUGAUGGAGGCCACCAAGUGGUUUUCGAGCAUGCCCAGUCCACCGAAGCCCGGAGACCCCGCUCCGACAGAACACAGCCGGCAUAUGAGGCCACCACUGCCCAUACAAGGAUAGUUCUUCUUAGUAAACUGCAGAAGUGUACAUAGGAUCGGUGUAGGAGUAAUAAUCUACGGGCUGGUGGAAGCCGUCAAGUGGUAUCACAGCGUGGGCCCGCCGAACCUGGACCCUCCGCCGCCAGAACACGACAGGCAUAUGCCGCCACCAACACCCAUGCAAGGAUAGUUCUUAAUAAAUUCAAGUAUUUUUAUAAAUAAACAACUCGAAAAAAUCGAACUGCUUAUAGCAGGAAUCGAACCCACUUCCGCUUGCCGGGCGACUGCUCUUCCAACUGAGCUACUCAGACACUGGAUGAACCCGUCGAAAUUUAGGCAGUUCGAUUUUUUCUAGUUUAUUUAAAAUUUAGUUUGAGAAGCGGCUCUAAUCGCUAAGAAAUUUUAAUAGCAAGUGAUUUUUGUUUGUUUUACUUGUAACUAUCAUAGAAUUGUGAAAUAUUAAUACCUAAUAUAACUGUGAGCAUGUGUAUUGUGUA